rnacentral:misc_RNA from 1 species
AAGUCGUAACAAGGUCUCCGUAGGUGAACCUGCGGAGGGAUCAUUACCGAGUGAGGCCGCGAGGCCGACCUCCAACCCUUCUGUUAUCCGACCGCGUUGCCUCGGGGGUGACCCGGACGCCUCGCGGCGUUGGGUGCCCCCGGUGGACCACAAUCAAACUCUUGCAUCUUUGCGUCUGAGUACAAUUUGAAUCAAAUCAAAACUUUCAACAACGGAUCUCUUGGUUCUG